AGAGCCGAGCGAAUCCCGAGCCCGGGCAGCAGAGGCCACAUGAGCUGUGGAAAGCACAUUACCUGGGACCGGGUCACCUGAGAAGAUCUUUGUAUCAGAUGUUCCUGGGAUCAGAGGCACAGUGGAAUGAGCCCCAAGUUGGAACCAGAAAGACCUCAGCAGGUAGCAGACCUGAAGUGCAAGUGAAAGAAGCCAAUCUUAGAAGGCUGCAUACUGUAUGAUUCCACCUAUUUGACCUUCUGAAAAAGGCAAAGCUACAGAGACAGAAAAAAAGGCACAAAGAUGACCUUGCACAUCUGCUGCGGAUGGCACUUCCACCCAGCUGUCCCCAGCACAGCAUUGACUUGUCGAGAGCUGUCCUUUGAGUCUGAUGGAUUAUUGAGACUUUUUGAAUGCAGGAAGCACACUCAUGGGGCCAUCCGAGGGCCUUGCAUUAUUUUUCUGCCUUUGAAAAGCCACUGAACUAAAUUUGGCAGAUAAAAAUGUGCCUGAGAGAUUUCUUUCUUAAUUUGCUGAUUAUGAGCCCUGACCUCAGGGAGCUUACAGUCUAGAGUAGAUGGUAUGUGAGCAUAAACCACUAUAACACAAGGUAAACUAUGAUUCAUAGUCUGGGAGAGGUACAGUUGAAGUGGGCAAGAGAGAGAGGAAAUCCAGCCCCUCCCCACUGGCCUCAAGUGGAAGCAGUGACACCAGUUCUGAAAGUUUGGAUUGGAGAGCCAGGUAGGAGUGAGACUCCUACCCACUCCUAUGAAAUAUGUUCUGGGCCAGGCGCGGUGGCUCACGCCUGUAAUCCCAGCACUUUGGGAGCCCGAGGCAGGCGGAUCACGAGGUCAAGAGAUCAAGACCAUCCUAGCCAACAUGGUGACACCCCGUCUCUAUUAAAGAUACAAAAAUUAGCCGGGUGUGGUAGCAGGCGCCUAUAGUCCCAGCUACUCGGGAGGCUGGGGCAGGAGAAUCGCUUGAACCUGGGAGGCGGAGAUUGCAGUGAGCCGAGAUCACACCACUGCACUCCAGCCUGGUGACAGAGCGAGACUCCGUCUCAAAAAUAAAAAAUGAAAGAAAGAAAGAAAGAUGUUCCAAGCAGAGAGAAUUCCAUAAGCAGAGGCAGAGAGGUGAAUAAUUGUGGGUGCACAUGCACUAGGAACAGAUAGGUGGCUGGAGCACAGUGUAGAGAAGGAUAAGGAAUGGCUUAAAAGGCUGGGGCCAGAUGGUGGAAGGCUCUGAAUUCCUGGCCAAGGAAUUGAGAGCGUGUUCAGUAAGCAGUAGGCACCUCUGCGUGUUUGAGUCAGGGAAUGAGCAGAUCACACUGCGCUUCAGAAGAGUCACCAGGUGGCAGCGUAUAGGAUGUGCCUGAAGCACCGGGCGCGGUGGCUCACGCCUGUAAUCCCAGCACUUUGGGAGGCUGAGGCGGGCAGAUCACAAGGUCAGGAGAUCGAAACCAUCCUAGCUAACACGAUGAAACCCCGUCUCUACUAAAAAUACAAAAAAUGAGCCAGACGCGGUGGCGGCUGCCUGUAGUCCCAGCUACACGGGAGGCUGAGGCAGGAGAAUGGCAUGAACCUGGGAGGCGGAGCGUGCGGUGAGCUGAGAUCGUGCCACUGCACUCCAGCCUGGGCGACAGAGCGAGACUCUGACUCAAAAAAAAAAAAAAAAAGAAAGAAAAAGAAAAGGAUGUGCCUGAAGCAAGAUGCCCAGCGGUAAGAACACCCAUCAGGAGGCUACUUCAAGGCAGUUACAAGGACCCAGACAGUUGGAAGCUGUCUCUUCUGCCUCUGCACUCCCAUGGCCCUUUAUCAGUACUUCUCUUAGGUACUUACCAAUUUUUACCUUAUCUACAUUUUUAAUUAAAAAUAGUUGUAGUUCAUUAUAAAGGAAAAUUAGACAGUAUAGAAAAAUAUAAAUAGUUGUAAUCCCACCAUCCAUUAAAUAACUACUGUUGACACUC
rnacentral:sRNA from 1 species